GGAGGAUACGAGCGUUAUCCGGAAUUAUUGGGUUUAAAGGGUGCGUAGGUGGCGUAUUAAGUCAGUGGUGAAAAGCUGCAGCUCAACUGUAGUCUUGCCGUUGAAACUGAUAUGCUAGAGAGGAGACGAGGUAUGCGGAAUGUGUGGUGUAGCGGUGAAAUGCAUAGAUAUCACACAGAACGCCGAUUGCGAAGGCAGCGUACCAGGCUCCGUCUGACACUGAAGCACGAAAGCGUGGGGAUCAAACAGGAUUAGAUACCCUGGUAGUCCCACGCAGUAAACGAUGAAUACUAGAUUUUUAGCGAUAUAGUGUAAGAGUCUAAGCGAAAGCGAUAAGUAUUCCACCUGGGGAGUACGCCGGCAACGGUG
rnacentral:rRNA from 1 species